rnacentral:misc_RNA from 1 species
GUCACGAUCCCACCCCACAAUAUCAAGGAAAUGCCUUGCUUGUGGGCAUGGGCUGUGAAGCUAACAUUUAAAUAGACGUAAGGAAUUGAAGUGGUGCAAUAGACAUGGACAUGAGUAGUUCGAUAUGAAAUAUUUUUGAUACUCACUCUGAAAUCCGCUUAGUCCCAUAUUUCUAAACUUCUAAUGUAGCCAUUCAACUUUCCAUUUAUAUAUAGCACAAGCCAAUAUUUGGCCAUUCCCCACCUCAUCUGGCGAAAUGUAAGAAUCAGAUUUGUGAAAUAAGAGGAGUUUUUCUUUAUAGAUGAUUAGACUGAUGUUGAGGUGACACUUGUACAAAACAAAUUUCUGAAUUCACUUUCUCAAGGUCUUCUCUCUAAUAAUGUAAAGCUACACAAUAAUUGUCUCUACCUCUCUCCAUUGAAAUGGUCAUUCGUUAUAUUUUCACAUGUAUAUUCUGAAAAAUUCUUAUUUUUAAAAUUGUUGACAAGAUAACCAUAAAGUAAUUCCUUAUUUUCCAUAUUACGUGAUGAUUUUAUGUGAUAUGAAUCUUGAGCUAUAUGAUAUUGCUGAAAAUUUGAACGUUUUUUAUCAAGAGAAUUUCAAAUUCGUCCAAAAGAAGCUACACACGGCGGCAGUCCUGAAUUUGCGUUGGCAGAAAACAACUGUUCAAGCUAAAGCGUUCUUAUAGCUGAUGGUUCUUAUUUUUGUACAUUCCAAUAAAUGUUUGAUGAA